rnacentral:rRNA from 1 species
UGCUGCCUACGGGGCGCAGCAGUAGGGAAUCUUCCACAAUGGGCGAAAGCCUGAUGGAGCAACGCCGCGUGGGUGAAGAAGGUCUUCGGAUCGUAAAACCCUGUUGUUAGAGAAAAAAAUGCGUGAGAGUAACUGUUCACGUUUCGACGGUAUCUAACCAGAAAGCCACGGCUAACUACGUGCCAGCAGCCGCGGUAAUACGUAGGUGGCAAGCGUUAUCCGGAUUUAUUGGGCGUAAAGGGAACGAAGGCGGUCUUUUAAGUCUG